UGUCGGUCCUUGCGCAAUGAUAAGUUAUUAACUCCGCCAGGCCCGGAAGGGAGCAACGGUACUUUCUGACUCAUGUGCCGCGAUGUGGCUGGCAGGA
rnacentral:SRP_RNA from 1 species